GGGGGUGUAGCUCAGUGCUAGAGCAUUUGCCUGGCAUGGAUGAGGCCCUGGGUUCAGAUCCCCAGCCCCA
rnacentral:tRNA from 1 species